rnacentral:lncRNA from 1 species
AAAAACCCCCUCUCCCCUUUUCUCUGCAGGCUAGAAGUUCGGCCAGGCUCCAGCGCUGACCACCGCCGUUCGUCGCCGGCCGCUAUCGCGGGUAAGAUUUCUCUUUUUUUUGUAUUUUUAUAUGUAAUAUAUGCAGACAUAAAUAACAAAAAAUAAUAGUAAAAACGAAAAUGAAAAAAAAAGAUAAGGAAAAAAAACUCAAAGACCUUUGCUUGAUUGUUGGCUGUCUAUUCUACUAGUAUUUGCUGUUGUUUUUUUUUUUGAAAAAUAUGUUUGAAUCUCUUUUCCUCCUCCUUUUUUCAAUCCGUCCCAUUUUCUCUCUUUUUUUUCUUCCCAACAUUACAUUCUUCUUGGCUUUGUAUAGCCAUUUUACAACUGUUUUUGUGCAUGUUUGUAGGUAUGACAGACAUGGCUUGGACGUGGUACGUGGGGCAGACGUGCGCGGUGGAGUGGCGCACGAUAUGAGCGGCGGCUGAAGCACUUAGGGGCUAGGGUUUUUCUUCUUGCCUGUUUUUUUCUGAUUUGUUGUGGGCUAGAUUUUGGGCUAGGGUAAUUGGGUUUGUAAUGGGCUAG